AACCCGGUUGUAGCCAAUUGCGUUCCACAGAGGAUGGAGAAGCAGGAACAUGUCGGCGAAACGGUUGUAGAACCACUCGAGGAAACGCGAAUUGCGUACGGCCCAGAGACGCACCGUGUAUUUGUGGCGCGAGCGGCGGCUGGGCGACACGCCCUGGGGUGUAUAGGCGCCCGUCGCCGCCUUCCUGGCGGACUGGGCGUUGCCGGUCACGACCUUCGGGUCAGGCAUUGUCCCGGCCUCCGGCCUUGAUGAGUGCGACGAGGCGCUCCCGGUCAAAGGCGGCUUCCAAUUCGGCCGCCGCCCUGUCGGCUUCCGCCUCGAGGUCGUCGGAGACUGGAACGGGAUCGGCCUUGC
rnacentral:sRNA from 1 species